AUAUCUUUGGAAGUGGGAGGAAACUGGAGAACCAGGAGCAAACCCACGCAAACUUGACACAAAGGCCACAGAUGGGAAUCGAUCCCAUGACUUUCUUGCUGUGAGGCAACAGUGCUAACCCCUAAGCCACCAUCCUACC